rnacentral:rRNA from 1 species
GUGUGUUCCAGGUAAAUCCGGUUCACUUUAACACUGAGGCGUGAUGACGAGGCGCUACGGUGCUGAAGCAACAAAUGCCCUGCUUCCAGGAAAAGCCUCUAAGCAUCAGGUAACACGAAAUCGUACCCCAAACCGACACAGGUGGUCAGGUAGAGAAUACCAAGGCGCUUGAGAGAACUCGGGUGAAGGAACUAGGCAAAAUGGUGCCGUAACUUCGGGAGAAGGCACGCUGACAUGUAGGUGAAGUGAUUUACUCAUGGAGCUGAAGUCAGUCGAAGAUACCAGCUGGCUGCAACUGUUUAUUAAAAACACAGCACUGUGCAAACACGAAAGUGGACGUAUACGGUGUGACGCCUGCCCGGUGCCGGAAGGUUAAUUGAUGGGGUCAGCGCAAGCGAAGCUCCUGAUCGAAGCCCCGGUAAACGGCGGCCGUAACUAUAACGGUCCUAAGGUAGCGAAAUUCCUUGUCGGGUAAGUUCCGACCUGCACGAAUGGCGUAAUGAUGGCCAGGCUGUCUCCACCCGAGACUCAGUGAAAUUGAACUCGCUGUGAAGAUGCAGUGUACCCGCGGCAAGACGGAAAGACCCCGUGAACCUUUACUAUAGCUUGACACUGAACAUUGAGCCUUGAUGUGUAGGAUAGGUGGGAGGCUUUGAAGUGUGGACGCCAGUCUGCAUGGAGCCGACCUUGAAAUACCACCCUUUAAUGUUUGAUGUUCUAACGUGGACCCGUGAUCCGGGUUGCGGACAGUGUCUGGUGGGUAGUUUGACUGGGGCGGUCUCCUCCUAAAGAGUAACGGAGGAGCACGAAGGUUGGCUAAUCCUGGUCGGACAUCAGGAGGUUAGUGCAAUGGCAUAAGCCAGCUUGACUGCGAGCGUGACGGCGCGAGCAGGUGCGAAAGCAGGUCAUAGUGAUCCGGUGGUUCUGAAUGGAAGGGCCAUCGCUCAACGGAUAAAAGGUACUCCGGGGAUAACAGGCUGAUACCGCCCAAGAGUUCAUAUCGACGGCGGUGUUUGGCACCUCGAUGUCGGCUCAUCACAUCCUGGGGCUGAAGUAGGUCCCAAGGGUAUGGCUGUUCGCCAUUUAAAGUGGUACGCGAGCUGGGUUUAGAACGUCGUGAGACAGUUCGGUCCCUAUCUGCCGUGGGCGCUGGAGAACUGAGGGGGGCUGCUCCUAGUACGAGAGGACCGGAGUGGACGCAUCACUGGUGUUCGGGUUGUCAUGCCAAUGGCACUGCCCGGUAGCUAAAUGCGGAAGAGAUAAGUGCUGAAAGCAUCUAAGCACGAAACUUGCCCCGAGAUGAGUUCUCCCUGAGACUUUA